rnacentral:snRNA from 1 species
GAAAAUUUGCUCUUUUAGUAUUUGUCCAGUAGGUUUUCUCAGUGAGGAGCUAUAUUGAAGAAAAAUCCCU